GAACAUCUCGUAAAAACAAUGGCAACUAAAUAGAAUCGAGAGCGGAAGAGGGAAAAGGGAAGACAAGUAGUUAAAAUGAAACAUCGCUAUCAAGAAUAAGCCUCUAGGAACUCCUGAGCAUCCAAAUGCAGAGGCCCACAGAUUCAUGAGAUCAGAAUAUCGACAGGAGGAAAAGUGCACAUGUGAGUGAAAAGCUGCCCCACCGUGAGGAUCAGCCAUCUACAUUUUCAUCUGAGAGCUGGCGGAAGAACUCAGACACGAAGGCUAUUUCCCUCUGGAGCUAGACAUGCAUCCCUCAUACUCCUGAAGUGAUUGCCAUUUGCCACUCAGAAGAGCAAAGUGAGCCAAAUGCAGCAUCCGACCUGGACUAGGCAGCCUGAGAUUUCAGAUCUUAACAUCGUUUGGACUCCGUGCCGUGUUACAGGCCACUCCAUUAACAAAAACAUGGACACAUCAGCCAUUCACCUGGAAGAAAUGAAAGCAUAAGGUCGGAGAACAACAUUACAAGGCUGAGAUAAGCUGCUAAAGGGGAGCAGUGACCCCUCCCCCAAAUCUUCUCAUCCCCUAAUUAUACCUUCCAGCAACUCCGUAGUUCAGUAACAUUAAAGAUGUACGCGAGA